CCUCAGUGGAAAAUCACUUCAUCACACGGCCCCUUCCUGGGAAUGAGAACAGAAAAAGCCUGGGAGACACGGGGCCAGAGGGCUGCCACCAAGUAUCUGGGUCUGUGGAGGGUACCUAGGCUCCUCUCAACCUGGAGGCAGAUGAUUUCCUUGGGCUGAAUUCCCAGAAGUCACAAUACUGUCAAAAGCUGGAGAUGGCCUCUUCCUGGCCCCAAGUCCCUCCUAUGGUAAGAGAAGAUGAGGGACAAUGUCAUCAACAGAACCUGUUGCCCAGCCUGGCUUAUUGUCUACCACCAGCUAUGUGAACCAUCACCACCAACCCACCAUUUCACCAUGCCUGUUUCCUAACCUGUAAAAUGGGAUAAUAGUAUGAAGAGUCCUGUGACAUUAAAUGAGAUCAUGUAUGCCAGUGUGCUGGGA